rnacentral:rRNA from 1 species
UACGUAGGGUGCGAGCGUUAAUCGGAAUUACUGGGCGUAAAGCGUGCGCAGGCGGUUGGUUAAGUCUGAUGUGAAAGCCCCGGGCUCAACUUGGGAAUGGCAUUGGAAACUGGCUGGCUAGAGUGUGGCAGAGGGGGGUGGAAUUCCGCGUGUAGCAGUGAAAUGCGUAGAGAUGCGGAGGAACACCGAUGGCGAAGGCAAUCCCCUGGGCCUGCACUGACGCUCAUGCACGAAAGCGUGGGAGC